GAUGAACGCUGGCGGCGUGCUUAACACAUGCAAGUCGAACGGUGAAGGAGAGCUUGCUCUCCGGAUCAGUGGCGAACGGGUGAGUAACACGUGAGCAAUCUGCCCCUGACUCUGGGAUAAGCGCUGGAAACGGCGUCUAAUACCGGAUACGAGCUGCGAAGGCAUCUACAGCAGCUGGAAAGAACUUCGGUCAGGGAUGAGCGCGCGGCCUAUCAGCUAGUUGGUGAGGUAAUGGCUCACCAAGGCGUCGACGGGUAGCCGGCCUGAGAGGGUGACCGGCCACACUGGGACUGAGACACGGCCCAGACUCCUACGGGAGGCAGCAGUGGGGAAUAUUGCACAAUGGGCGCAAGCCUGAUGCAGCAACGCCGCGUGAGGGACGACGGCCUUCGGGUUGUAAACCUCUUUUAGCAGGGAAGAAGCGAAAGUGACGGUACCUGCAGAAAAAGCACCGGCUAACUACGUGCCAGCCGCCGCCGUAA
rnacentral:rRNA from 1 species